rnacentral:rRNA from 1 species
UACGGGGGGGGUAAGCGUUGUUCGGAAUUACUGGGCGUAAAGGGCUCGUAGGCGGCCAACUAAGUCAUACGUGAAAUCCCUCAGCUUAACUGGGGAACUGCGUGUGAUACUGGAUGGCUUGGAUUUGGGAGAGGGAUGCGGAAUUCCAGGUGUAGCGGUGAAAUUCGUAGAUAUCGGGAGGAACACCAGUGGCGAAGGCGGCGAUCUGGGAAGAUACUGACGCUGAGGUGCGAAAGCGUGGGGAGCAAACAGG